rnacentral:rRNA from 1 species
UACAGAGGGGGCAAGCGUUGUUCGGAAUUACUGGGCGUAAAGGGCGCGUAGGCGGCCUGUUAAGUCGAACGUGAAAUCCCCGGGCUCAACCCGGGAACUGCGUCCGAUACUGGCAGGCUUGAAUCCGGGAGAGGGAUGCGGAAUUCCACGUGUAGCAGUGAAAUGCGUAGAGAUGUGGAGGAAUACCGAUGGCGAAGGCAGCCCCCUGGGAUAACACUCGACGCUCAUGACACGAAAGCGU